GGGCUGAUGGUCUAGAGGUAUGAUUCUCGCUUUGGGUCACACAUGCGAGAGGUCCCGGGUUUAAUCCCCGGUCUGCCCC